AUUGAACGCUGGCGGCAUGCCUUACACAUGCAAGUCGAACGGCAGCGCGGGAGCAAUCCUGGCGGCGAGUGGCGAACGGGUGAGUAAUAUAUCGGAACGUGCCCAGUAGUGGAGGAUAGCCCGGCGAAAGCCGGAUUAAUACCGCAUACGACCUACGGGUGAAAGGGGGGGAUCGCAAGACCUCUCGCUAUUGGAGCGGCCGAUAUCAGAUUAGGUAGUUGGUGGGGUAAAGGCCCACCAAGCCUGCGAUCUGUAGUUGGUCUGAGAGGACGACCAGCCACACUGGGACUGAGACACGGCCCAGACUCCUACGGGAGGCAGCAGUGGGGAAUUUUGGACAAUGGGGGCAACCCUGAUCCAGCAAUGCCGCGUGCAGGAAGAAGGCCUUCGGGUUGUAAACUGCUUUUGUCAGGGAAGAAAAGGUCUCCUCUAAUACAGGGGGCUCAUGACGGUACCGUAAGAAUAAGCACCGGCUAACUACGUGCCAGCCGCCGCGGUAA
rnacentral:rRNA from 1 species